GGUUGGUUUUGAUUCAAAAGACAACUCGUGGGUAGACUUUGGAGAUUUGAAUUUAGAAUGUCAAAAGUACGUUACAGACAUGCACAAUAAGAUUCCAUCUGUCAGACGCUAAAUUUCGUAAAAUGUACAUAUUCUUUUCAUUGUUUCAUUUUAUAAAACAUGUAUUUUUUAUUUUUAUUUGUAUCAUAAUGUAUUUUUUAACACAUAUUUCUGAUAAAAAAAAAAGCUCCUAUAUCAAUUUACUGUUUUUCCUAUAGAGAGACCAUAUGUUUACAGAGGUCAAAACGAGAGUUCAAUGAUUGAACUAUAUUUAGAAGUGCGCACGUGUUGAUAAUAAAAUGUUAUACUGUAUAGAAAUUGUGAAGAAUUUCAUUGAGAAUUAAUUAGUCAAGAAAAUCGGCUGAUGGGAAAUUUAUUGUAAGGAUAUUAGGGACGCUUAAUAAUUUGUUAACCUGUUUAUUGACUCUGGUCAUUGCGGUUAAAGAUAAGAUUGAGGAUAAUUACCUUUCCAGAUUAAGAGCCUGAUAACAAAUUUUAAAGAAAAUGUGUAAUUUUUUACUUAUUUUUUCUUAUUUUUGUGUAUAUAGUAAUUUGCGCAUUUUGUUUAUUUUAAAUAAUCUUUUUUACAAC
rnacentral:lncRNA from 1 species